CCAACCCUAACGGCCCGCGCAAAUAAGCAUGCCUAUAAAUAUCAUCUCCAAAACCCUAUUCUCUCAUGCCUUCACUUCACAGAAUCACAGUGUUUCUGUUAGCCGGCUAGGAUUGGCAUGCCUCGUGUUAGUGUCUUGGUUCUGAUUCUGCUAUUUUCCAAUCAUGCACUUAGCCUCUGAGGAUGAUCAGAAAAAUACCUUUCCGAAUUGUUUAUGAGGAAAAUACAUGGAGACCUGAACUGAAGAGGCAAUGGCUAUGUAGUGGCUUCUUAUACGUAGGCAUUCUGGCUUCAAAAUAUUAACAUGUACGUCUAGUGUUUGUAUGGAAUAGUUUCAAAAUGUGUAGUUCUUUAUGUUCUUGUUCUUUUGUCCUUGUGUAAUUACGCUGGAUUAUUUAUUAUUGUAGAAUAUAGAUUUGGUCCAUCCAAAUUAGAUGAUUAUUGGAGACUAUCAAUGUUGUACACUUUGGAAGUGAAGAAAGCAGGCCCCUAUGGUUUGCCCGUGCUGCUCCAA